GACGAACGCUGGCGGCGUGCUUAACACAUGCAAGUCGAACGGAAAGGCCCUGCUUUUGUGGGGUGCUCGAGUGGCGAACGGGUGAGUAACACGUGAGUAACCUGCCCUUGACUUUGGGAUAACUUCAGGAAACUGGGGCUAAUACCGGAUAGGAGCUCCUGCUGCAUGGUGGGGGUUGGAAAGUUUCGGCGGUUGGGGAUGGACUCGCGGCUUAUCAGCUUGUUGGUGGGGUAGUGGCUUACCAAGGCUUUGACGGGUAGCCGGCCUGAGAGGGUGACCGGCCACAUUGGGACUGAGAGACGGCCCAGACUCCUACGUGAGGCAGCAGUGGGGAAUAUUGCACAAUGGGCGGAAGCCUGAUGCAGCAACGCCGCGUGCGUGAUGACGGCCUUCGGGUUGUAAACCGCUUUCGCCUGUGACGAAGCGUGAGUGACGGUAAUGGGUAAAGAAGCACCGGCUAACUACGUG
rnacentral:rRNA from 1 species